GAUGAACUGUGGGUAGCGGAGAAAUUCCAAUCGAACCCGGAGAUAGCUGGUUCUCCCCGAAAUAGUUUUAGGACUAGCCUCAAGUUAGAUACCUGGAGGUAAAGCACUGAAUAGCCUAGCGGCCGAGAGGUUAGCGAAGCUUAUCAAACUCAGAAUGCCAGAGUAUUGAUGCUUGGGAGUCAGACAGUGUCAGAUAAAUGUCAUUGUCAAAAGGGAAACAGCCCAGAUCUACAGCUAAGGUCCCAAAGUCAGGUUAAGUGGAAAACGAUGUGAAGAUACGUAGACAACCAGGAUGUUGGCUCAGAAGCAGCCACACAUUCAAAGAGUGCGUAAUAGCUCACUGGUCGAGCGUCUUUGCGCGGAGAAUUUAACGGGGCUAAACCUGACACCGAAGCUUAGGCAAUACAGCAAUGUAUUGGGUAGGGGAGCGUUGUAUACGCGGAGAAACAGUAGCGCAAGCGGCUGUGGAGUGUAUAGAAGUGAGAAUGCCGGAAUGAGUAGCGCGAAUGCAGUGAGAAUCUGCAUGGCCGAAAGCCUCAGGUUUUUGGAGGAAGGUUCGUCCGCUCCAAGUUAGUCGGGAGCUAAGGUGAGGCCGAAAGGCGUAGCCGAUGCACAGACGGUAGAGAUUCCGUCACCACCAAAAGAGUUAAGCACAGGGACACAUAUGAAGUCUCAGAGCCGGGUGUUGGUUCCGGUAGAGAUCGAGGGAAGUUAGUACCGAAGUCUGAGAUGGAAGAUGGCGAGAAAAGCUGUGUGUAUUUCUGAGGUGCCCGUACCGCAAACCGACACAGGUAGGUAGGAAGAAGAUUCUAAGGCCAACGGGAGAAGGGUUGUUAAGGAACUCGGCAAAUUGACCCCGUAACUUCGGGAGAAGGGGUGCUCCAGAGAUGGAGCCGCAGAGAAUCGGCCCAAGCAACUGUUUACCAAAAACACAGGUUUGUGCUAAAUCGAAAGAUGACGUAUACGAGCUGACGCCUGCCCGGUGCUGGAAGGUUAAGAGGAGAUGUGCAAGCAUUGAAUCGAAGCCCCAGUGAACGGCGGCCGUAACUAUAACGGUCCUAAGGUAGCGAAAUUCCUUGUCAGGUAAGUUCUGACCCGCACGAAUGGCGUAACGAUUUGGGCACUGUCUCAACAGCCCGCCCGGCGAAAUUGUAGUACCGGUGAAGAUGCCGGUUACCCGCGACAAGACGGAAAGACCCCAUGGAGCUUUACUGUAGCCUAAUAUUGGGUUUCGAUGUUGCAUGCACAGGAUAGAUGGGACUCUGGGAAACCAAGGCUUUGGCUUUGGCGGAGAGGCCGUUGGGAUACCAUCCUUGCGAUAUUGGAAUUCUAACCUGCGGCUCUGAAUCGAGUCGGGGGACAUUGUUAGGUGGGCAGUUUGACUGGGGCGGUCGCCUCCUAAAGAGUAACGGAGGCGUUCAAAGGUUCGCUCAGCUUGAACGGAAAUCAAGCAAAAGAGUGCAAACGCAGAAGCGAGCCUAACUGCGAGACUGACGGGUCGAGCAGUAACGAAAGUUGGAGUUAGUGAUCCGGUGGUAUGUGAGUGGAAAUGCCAUCGCUCAACGGAUAAAAGCUACCCUGGGGAUAACAGGCUGAUCUCCCCCAAGAGUCCACAUCGACGGGGAGGUUUGGCACCUCGAUGUCGGCUCAUCGCAUCCUGGGGCUGAAUUCGGUCCCAAGGGUUUGGCUGUUCGCCAAUUAAAGCGGUACGCGAGCUGGGUUCAGAACGUCGUGAGACAGUUCGGUCCCUAUCUGUCGUGGGCGCAGGAUAUUUGAUGGGAGCUGUCCCUAGUACGAGAGGACCGGGACGGACGUACCUCUGGCGCACCAGUUGUUCCGCCAGGAGCAUAGCUGGGCAACUACGUACGGAUCGGAUAAACGCUGAAAGCAUCUAAGCGUGAAGCCGACCCAAAGAUAAGAUAUCCCACUGAUU
rnacentral:rRNA from 1 species